AACGAACGCUGGCGGCAUGCCUAACACAUGCAAGUCGAACGAGACCUUCGGGUCUAGUGGCGCACGGGUGCGUAACGCGUGGGAACCUGCCCUUAGGUUCGGAAUAACUCCCCGAAAGGGGUGCUAAUACCGGAUAAUGUCUUCGGACCAAAGAUUUAUCGCCUUUGGAUGGGCCCGCGUUGGAUUAGCUAGUUGGUAGGGUAAAAGCCUACCAAGGCGACGAUCCAUAGCUGGUCUGAGAGGAUGAUCAGCCACACUGGGACUGAGACACGGCCCAGACUCCUACGGGAGGCAGCAGUGGGGAAUAUUGGACAACGGGCGAAAGCCUGAUCCAGCAAUGCCGCGUGGGGGAUGAAGGCCUUAGGGUUGUAAAGCGCUUUUACCCGGGAGGAUAAUGACAGUACCGGGAGAAUAAGCUCCGGCUAACUCCGUG
rnacentral:rRNA from 1 species